rfam:Toxocara canis scaffold842, whole genome shotgun sequence.
GAAAUCAUACUUCACAGAAUCAUUUCUGUAGUAUGCAUUUCAUCGCCUCUCUCAAAGAGGCGACACAACGCAGCCGCGAUGAUCGAUGUGUGGCGUCGUUCUCAGAGCGUGAAGAAGCAUCAUCCGUUUAUCCAAAAACUGAUGAAGCUUGAUGACCGCCGGUGAUUUCGAUGAGGAAUCGCCGAUGAGGGCGACGCUUGCUGAGCGGU